CAUAAUUUAAGCUGUUUUUAGAUUGACGUUGCUAGCUACUGUACUUAUUUACCUCAGCCUAGCUAGCUAGACAGUUUUAUUUAGUUAACGUUAGCUAGCUAGCUAACUGUUAUUGUAGCUUUCUGUUUGUAUAUAGCUUGCACUUCAAUGGCAUCCCUUGAGGAGACUUUCUUUUAUCUUUCCAACCAGGCAAAGUACUAUGAAGGCACCACUGAUGUCGACGAGAGGUGCAACGUUCGUAGGGGGCAGAGAAAUUCCCAAUUCAGGGCAAUCAUAUGUACCUACGGGGGGAGGAUGGCCAGCCACACAGGAGGGUGAUUUUUACUACGGAGGAGAAGGAGCCCAUGCUGACCGAGAUGCAUGCUGGCCAUUUCAGAGUGAAGCGCAUGAUUGCCAAUAUCAACCUACACUUCUUCUGGCGUGGAAUUGACAAAGAGGUGGACAGCUGGGUUAGUACCCUGUCUAGCCUGCCAGAAGUUUGAGAGGGUGAAGACUGGCGCCGGAGUUGAAGCCCAUCUAAGUUGAUUCACCAUGGCACAUGAUCGGUACCAGGAACGGUGGAAGGACAACCUGAAGGUAAUUCUCUUUGCACACAACAGUAGUGUCCAGGCCUCCACCGAGUACUCUCCAUAUCGCUUGCUGUACGGACGGGAGCCACAGCUGUUGACUGAGAUCACUGAAACCCCACCUGAUGUGGUGGAAGUUGUUGAUCCAGAUCAGAACGCCUUCUAGGACCACCUUCAGAUACGGACUGAGAAGGAUGUGGAGCUGACUGAACAUCGACAAGGCGCAGGAGAAACAGAAGGAGAGCUACCGGAAAGGGACCAAGUGCUUCGACAUCCAGGUGAAUUACUUAGUUUGGAAGAAGGACGAAAUGAAGGCGAGACCUGGGAAACCUCACUGCUCUUUCGCUUCUAGCUGUGGUCACCAUCCAUUAAGAGUUACCUCGGUGGAAGCAGACAAUCUUCUCCAGUUGGAGCCGCUGGAUGGUCGACCACUGAAAGCCCCGACACCCUACACCUCGGGGAAGACCAAUAGACAAAGUAUGUUAAGCUUUAGGACCAUCGGUUGUCCAAGCCCCCCAGGAAGUAUCCCAUCCACUAGAGCCAGUGAGUUCGGAUCAGUCGGAUUCUCUAUGCUCUGAGUCAGAGGGGGACCAGCUUGCGGACCUAGGGGUUCUGCCUAACACCCACAUGUGGAUCCACCUGAUGUCCUCCAUUAGCAAACACCCUCCAACUUUUCACAACAUAAUUUACUGUUAUUGUCAUGUUGUCAUUAUCUGCUAAGACAUUUUUCUUGCUCUGUCAUAUUGGGGCCAUAAUAUGUGAUAUACACAGAUAAACUAAAAACACUAGCACUGCAAACACUCAGAACAAAGAGAGCAGCAGUGCUAGGAAUUUGCUGUCUCCCUCUUCAAGUCCCCCUUCCAAAGUGACAGGCAGAACAUCCCAUCCAGACAGCACCCACCUCCUCUAUAUUCCACACACCAGAAUUCAGAUAUUCAACCGCAAGGGUGUACUAAUGAGCUAUGCAAGAUAGAACAAACAUUUAUCAUAAUAGAGCAGUU
rnacentral:lncRNA from 1 species